AAGGCUAAAUACUCCUGACUGACCGAUAGUGAACCAGUACCGUGAGGGAAAGGCGAAAAGAACCCCGGCGAGGGGAGUGAAAAAGAACCUGAAACCGUGUACGUACAAGCAGUGGGAGCCUCUUUAUGGGGUGACUGCGUACCUUUUGUAUAAUGGGUCAGCGACUUAUAUUCUGUAGCAAGGUUAACCGAAUAGGGGAGCCGAAGGGAAACCGAGUCUUAACUGGGCGUUAAGUUGCAGGGUAUAGACCCGAAACCCGGUGAUCUAGCCAUGGGCAGGUUGAAGGUUGGGUAACACUAACUGGAGGACCGAACCGACUAAUGUUGAAAAAUUAGCGGAUGACUUGUGGCUGGGGGUGAAAGGCCAAUCAAACCGGGAGAUAGCUGGUUCUCCCCGAAAGCUAUUUAGGUAGCGCCUCGUGAAUUCAUCUCCGGGGGUAGAGCACUGUUUCGGCAAGGGGGUCAUCCCGACUUACCAACCCGAUGCAAACUGCGAAUACCGGAGAAUGUUAUCACGGGAGACACACGGCGGGUGCUAACGUCCGUCGUGAAGAGGGAAACAACCCAGACCGCCAGCUAAGGUCCCAAAGUCAUGGUUAAGUGGGAAACGAUGUGGGAAGGCCCAGACAGCCAGGAUGUUGGCUUAGAAGCAGCCAUCAUUUAAAGAAAGCGUAAUAGCUCACUGGUCGAGUCGGCCUGCGCGGAAGAUGUAACGGGGCUAAACCAUGCACCGAAGCUGCGGCAGCGACGCUUAUGCGUUGUUGGGUAGGGGAGCGUUCUGUAAGCCUGUGAAGGUGUGCUGUGAGGCAUGCUGGAGGUAUCAGAAGUGCGAAUGCUGACAUAAGUAACGAUAAAGCGGGUGAAAAGCCCGCUCGCCGGAAGACCAAGGGUUCCUGUCCAACGUUAAUCGGGGCAGGGUGAGUCGACCCCUAAGGCGAGGCCGAAAGGCGUAGUCGAUGGGAAACAGGUUAAUAUUCCUGUACUUGGUGUUACUGCGAAGGGGGGACGGAGAAGGCUAUGUUGGCCGGGCGACGGUUGUCCCGGUUUAAGCGUGUAGGCUGGUUUUCCAGGCAAAUCCGGAAAAUCAAGGCUGAGGCGUGAUGACGAGGCACUACGGUGCUGAAGCAACAAAUGCCCUGCUUCCAGGAAAAGCCUCUAAGCAUCAGGUAACAUCAAAUCGUACCCCAAACCGACACAGGUGGUCAGGUAGAGAAUACCAAGGCGCUUGAGAGAACUCGGGUGAAGGAACUAGGCAAAAUGGUGCCGUAACUUCGGGAGAAGGCACGC
rnacentral:rRNA from 1 species